UGCGCUGUAUGAUGGACUCCCACCAACUGGCACAGGCGCAGGCGCUGAGUGGCUUGCCUUACUGGUAGGUGGGAAAAAGUGACUUCUGUUUAGGCGUAAAGCAGCGAAAAACACUGAGAAAAUGUCGAGGGGCACUGUGGCAAAGGACAAUCGGGUGCACAGUGAAUACCUCAGGAAUGAAUACUUUGCAUGGGAAGGGCCUGGAGACUGAAAGGCCGUGAAGGAAUUUUUCCGCUAAUUGAGGAAACCAAAGGUACCACAGAGUCUUCACUCGGUGAAGCUGAGUGGAAAAAACAAAACACACACACACGAGAAGAACCACCAACAGACAAUAAAACCAAACGCGUAAAAGACAGAAAUUGAGCGGCGAAAGAAGAGGCCGAAAGGCUGUUCGUUCAUUGACGAGUUGAGUAAUCUCUAGUAAAAGCCCGGAGACAAUGCAUUUAAAACUUGGGACACAUGUGUCAGGACCUGAGGUAUUCAGCAUUAGUCAGUCAACAUGUCCCUGCUGUGUGUGUGGAGUGCUCUUCUAAAUUCUGUGGGGUGUGAUGAUGGCAGUAUUUCCUGGAGAAGCAUGCUGUAUAAAGGAGAACUGGAAUAAACACAAGUGUGACAGAACUGCAACUAAGUGAUUGGAAGAAAAGGAGCGUGGUUUCGGGCUGCGCGCUGACUAGGGCGCCACUCGCGAGGCCGCAACAGAGCCCGCAGCGCCGCCAUCGGCGAGCCAGAGCCUUCCAGCCCCGGAGCAUCGAACUGCGGACACCCUUCAGCUGGGCGAGUUUGAGGAGCCGCCUGCAACCUUCGAGUGAGCUCAGCGCUCACCGAACACCGCGCUGGACGCGCGCCUCGGCGCAGACAAGAGGACUGGAUUUUAUAAAACAUGAGUUUUACAUAGAAGAUAGAGAACAUGGAAAAUACCUCAAGCAAAGUGACAUCAACCUGAAGGUUUAAUUCUGAUCCCAUCCAGGAUUCCAUAAUAUAUUAAGGUGUCAUGUCUCCUUAGGCUCUAAGAAGGUGUUUUCAUUCAAUGAACUUGACAGUUUUGAGUGCUAAGGUAUGUUACAGAAUAUCCAAUUUGGGUUUGCUUGAUUGUUUUUCUUACAGUUAGACUGAAUUUAUGGGAUUUUUGGGUGAAGACCACAAAAGUAAAGUACUGUUCUCAAUACUUCAGAUCAAGGGUAUAUGCUAUCAACAUAAGUUAUCACUGAUGAUGUUUAACCUUGGCUAAGGUAGUGUAUCCCAGGUUUCUCCGCUAUCAUGUUACUUUCUCUUCUGUUUCUGUAUUGUAUUUUUUGGAAGCAAGUCACUAAGUAUAACCCACAUGUAAGAAAAUGGGAAGUUAUGUUCCACAUGCUGAAGGAGGGAAUAUCUACAUAAAUUAUCUGUAGAUAAUUUAUAUGGGAGAUUUGUCUGCCCUCACUCCCCCCCCUUCUUCUUCCUUCAUUCCUUUUCUUCCAUCAUUUAUCAUAUCAUUCGUCAUCAUAUCAGUAGGAACUUAACAGACAUUUAUUUAUACUUUGGGUUAUAAUCCAGUACUACUACAUCACUUAUUUUGUUGCUGAAAUUGUUCCAGCUUUGGUCAUUGGGAGCUCUAUAGGAUGUUCCAGACUCAUCUUGUGUAUUUCUGCCCCAUCCCCAGAACCAGCCAUUUCUCCAAGGAGCCCUGGUUUCUUUUAUUGGAGAAUAUUAUCAGAAAUCAAGAUCUAGGCACUAGGUGUAUCUAUAGAAUUUUGACCUGAUAGUACCAGGCCAAUUCCUGACUGUUAGGGGCUGCUUUUCUCUUUCUCAGAAAGCAUCUUUGACUGUAAACUCAAUGUAAGCAACUAUGGAACAUAACUGCUAAUGAAACUAAUGUAAGCUUAGGUUCUGUUGGCAGAAAGUAUGUAAAAAUGAGGAACACUGUUUUCAUUAUAACCUCUAUGGGACCUACAACACCUGGAAAUCUUUGUUUAGUUUGUCUGGUCACAGUGUAAAGGAAAAUUAAUAAAUGGUGGCACUUCAGAAGGGGCUAGCCAGAUUCAUAAAGUCUGGAAUGAUUAAAUAAGAAUGAUUACAGAAGGGGCACCUAGGUGGCUCAGUCGGUUAAGCAUCCAACUUUGGCUCAGGUCUUGAUCUUAUGGUUUAUGGGUUUGAGCCCCAUGUCAAGCUCUAUGCUGACAGCUUAGAGCAGCUUACAGCCUGGAGCCUACUUCGGAUUCUGUGUCUCCCUCUCUCUCUGCCUGCUCACACUCUGUCUAUCUCUCCAAAAAUAAACAUUAAAAAAAAGAGGAAUGAUUACAGAAAAUAGAUAUUUGACCGGAAAAGACUUAGGCUGAACACAAUAGUUUUUUUCCUGUGAUAUGAAACAUAUCUUGUGCUCCAGAAGACAGAGGAAGAGAUGAUUUAUUCACCUAAUUAUUCACUGGUUUUCAUCCAAUAUAAGCAAGAACUGGCUAAUAGAGUUUAACCAUGGGAUGAGCUCCCUCAUGUGGUAAAAAUCUCAUUAUUGAAGCAUGUUGAAACCAUUUCAUCUGUAUUCACUAAACUCCAUUUUUAUUCUUUUGACUCUCUUUGAAUUUAGUUUAUUAGCAAAAGUUUCAGUUUGAGAGCUUGAAAUUUUGUCUCAACUGACUCAUGGAAGAAAAUAUAUUGUCUGCCUUUCAGCCAGGCUGGAUGGACUAGAGGGCUCAAGAUUGGUGUAGGAGCACAGGAUGUGAGGAGAGACAGAGACCUAUUAUAGUUAGUGACAUUGUCAUACUGGUUCACUUGCUCACUACAAAGGUGGCUGGAAUUGUAAUAUGCAAACACAAUGCACAUCUGUCUACCAAGGUUAAUUGUCUGUAUGAAGCAACACUAUCCUCCAUCCACCUACAUUUAUUUAGCUGUUAAAUGGCUGCUAGGUAACAACCUGCCCUAUUUUACCUUUCCUCUUCCUGAUGGGUAAGAUCUACACAGCAGAGGGGAAAGGUCCAGCGAUAUCAGACUACUUUGUAGUCUGUCCUAAUCAGUUUGGAGAUAUCGCAUUGUACUAGAUACAAAAAAUUACAUUCAACCAAGUAAUAUCAAUUCUAUUUCUACAGUGUUUAUGUAAUCAGUUAAUGUAAUAGUAUUUAUGUCUUAAAUACUUAAAAUUCAUUUUGGAUAAAGUCUAUCACUGUUAUGGAGUAAAUACAUGUGAACUACCUUAAUAUAUCUGUGUUUAGCAUUACCUGUAUUUUGUUGGCUGAAUCUUCCUUUUGAGCUCAGAACUUUGCUGCAUUUGCAGAGCUCAAGGGAAAGGCUGUCAGGAGCUGGGGCCACCAUUACAAUGAUUUAAUGAUUUAUUUACUGAAGUGUUGGUUUCAAUAAUGAAUGAAAUGUAGUUUCUACUUUGUGCUUAGGGAGCU